rnacentral:rRNA from 1 species
UGGGGAAUCUUGCACAAUGGGCGAAAGCCUGAUGCAGCAACGCCGCGUGCGGGAAGACAGCCCUAGGGUUGUAAACCGCUUUCAGCAGGGAAGAAACUGACGGUACCUGCAGAAGAAGAUGCGGCCAACUACGUGCCAGCAGCCGCGGUGACACGUAGGCAUCAAGCGUUAUCCGGAUUUAUUGGGCGUAAAGAGCUCGUAGGCGGUUCGGUAAGUCGGGUGUGAAAACUCUGGGCUCAACCCAGAGAGGCCACUCGAUACUGCUGUGACUAGAGUGCGGUAGGGGAGCGGGGAAUUCCUGGUGUAGCGGUGAAAUGCGCAGAUAUCAGGAGGAACACCAGUGGCGAAGGCGCCGCUCUGGGCCGUAACUGACGCUGAGGAGCGAAAGCAUGGGUAGCAAACAGGAUUAGAUACCCUGGUAGUCCACGCCGUAAACGUUGGGCACUAGGUGUGGGUCUCAACCAACGAGAUCCGCGCCGUCGCUAACGCAUUAAGUGCCCGCCUGGGAGUACGGUCGCAAGAC